UCAGAUUUCUCCUUCUACCACUGGAGAACAGGACAGGAUUAUGAGGGGAGGAGGAGAGGUAGAGGGUGAUAAAAUCCUCGAGAACAGUAAAGUUUGAGGAACACAAGGAAGCAGGUUCAGCCUUUAGAGAGCAGAGACACACCCUUUUCAGAUUGUUUUCUGAUUUAAUUCAAAUCUAUGGAGUUUGUGGGUUUCUAAGUUUGCCAGAAACUGAAAGAGGUCUAGAUGAAGCGUGAAUCCCCUCCUGCACUGAGUGUUAUAAUGGGUUAUAGAAGGCAAAGCAGGUCAUGAGACACCAAAAAUCUGUUCCUAAUUGUUGAACAUAAAAUCCUGACAACUGACUCUACCCUUGUUCAGAGAAAGUUCACAGAAAAGCUUCAAGCAGCUUUUUUUUUCUUUUUUCUUUUUUUAUGAUGGCCAAAGGAAACACUCCCUAAGCAUUCCUACCUUGACAACCACUGACGGCAGCAACAAGUCAGGACCUGACUGGCCUUUCACAUGAAAUGAUGGAAUCAGACAUGAUAACACUGGCAGCGUGUGAGGUCAUAGACUGAGCCCAUCAGUCUUGAGAAUCAACAUCUGGUGGCUCAGAGUGGCAGACAACACUUUCUGAUUCCCAUCAUUUAUGUGUCAUCAUGGCAUCAUGUGCCACCACAGACCACCACCAUAGAAAGAACUACCAGAUUUAUUCCUAUUUGAGGUAAACAGACAUCUUGCUGGGUGUUGAUGAUCAAACUGAGAACUGCUAAUUGAAAAGAGCCGCCUGCUGGACACGACACAGUGAAGGUAAUGAGUGAUGGGGGACAGCAUAGCACAACUUUAGAGAUGGCAGGCCGGGGUCUUGACAAUACUGGUCUG